GGCAAUAGCUCUAUAUAAACAGGGCAGCCACAGGGAGGAGGAACACAAGGAGCAGGCAGGCAGAAAGGCAGGGGGAAGCCAUGAUGGAUCUGAGAGCCACAAACAAGGGGGCCGAGCCUGCAGCCGGGACGCCGGAGAUGGACCGAACCGUGGCUUUGGACGCAGAAGUGGUGGGCAUGUCGAAUUCCACAUCUACGUAGCGGAUAAAACUGGAAGGCACUUCCCGGUCAGAGCCAAGCUCUAGGUGACAGAAGAAGCAGUGAGGAUGGCCAGAAGCUGGAAAAAGAGAGCAAACAGACAUGAAAUUUGUGUUGGUUGGAUCAGAAAAGACCACAUCUAGGAGGAAGCAAUGUCAUGAAACAGAAAGAAAAUGAUGAUCUGCCUAGAGGAACUAGUUUGUGGCAAGGGACAGUACCUUACCUGUUUCAAUGCCAUUGAAACUUCAUACUUUGGAGUUUCAAGACCAAUUAAACAAAAUAAAUCACUAAAAUGACAGCCAAUCAGUCUAGUUUGCUUUCAGUGAGUGAAAAUUUAACAUGUAAAUCAAGCAGUGUAGGAAAAGGUAUUACCCCUCUUCUGAUUCUCCCAGUGUAUGUAAUACACUAAGCACAUUGUGGCACAUCCUUCUAAGAUGCCACGUAUUGAUAGUGAGUUAAGGCAGAUUUGGCGGAUAUUUAAUGUUUAUUUUUUGAACUUGUUAUCCUCAUUUAUUGGGAAAGAAAACAUAUUGGAUAAAACUAAUUCACUUUCUCGGGUUCAAAAAGCUAAUUUGUGCACAGCUUGGAAAUAACUGUUUAUUCCUUAUUCUAACCUACCACAAGAUGGCUAAUCAUUAAUGAUGAAAAGGUGACAAAGUAAUCAUGUUUAGCUCUACCAUCAGUAACUGGUAAUCUUUGCUAUCAUAUUUUUUCCUUUGUUUUGCUGGACAGCAGUGAUGCUUAAAAAUUAAAACAGAAUUAAAAUUAAAAUUAAAAUUAAAAUUGAAAAGCAUGA